rnacentral:rRNA from 1 species
UACGUAGGCAGCGAGCGUUGUUCGGAGUUACUGGGCGUAAAGGGUGUGUAGGCGGUUGUUUUAAGUUUGGUGUGAAAUCUCCCGGCUCAACCGGGAGGGUGCGCCGAAUACUGAAUGACUAGAGUGCGGGAGAGGAAAGUGGAAUUCCUGGUGUAGCGGUGAAAUGCGUAGAUAUCAGGAGGAACACCGGUGGUGUAGACGGCUUUCUGGACCGUAACUGACGCUGAGACACGAAAGCGUGGGUAGCAAACAGG